GAUGAAGAACGUAGCGAAAUGCGAUACUUGGUGUGAAUUGCAGAAUCCCGUGAACCAUCGAGUCUUUGAACGCAAGUUGCGCCUCAAGCCAUUAGGUUGAGGGCACGUCUGCCUGGGCGUCACAUAUCGUUGCCUGAUGCCAGUUUCCUCGUGAUGGGUGACUGUGCAGGGCGAAUGAUGGCUUCCCGUGAGCAUUGUUGGCUCAUGGUUGGUUGAAAAUUGAGUCCUUGGUAGGGAGCGCCGUGAUAGAUGGUGGUUGAGUGACGAACGAGACCCAAUCAUGUGAGACCCCUACCGAAUUUGGCCUUCAUGACCCACAUGCGUCUUUGGAACGCUCAUGACGAGACCUCAGGUCAGGCGGGGCUACCCGCUGAGUUUAAGCAUAUCAAUAAGCGGAGGA
rnacentral:misc_RNA from 1 species